rnacentral:rRNA from 1 species
GAUGAACGCUGGCGGCGUGCCUAAUACAUGCAAGUCGAGCGAACGGACGAGAAGCUUGCUUCUCUGAUGUUAGCGGCGGACGGGUGAGUAACACGUGGAUAACCUACCUAUAAGACUGGGAUAACUUCGGGAAACCGGAGCUAAUACCGGAUAAUAUUUUGAACCGCAUGGUUCAAAAGUGAAAGACGGUCUUGCUGUCACUUAUAGAUGGAUCCGCGCUGCAUUAGCUAGUUGGUAAGGUAACGGCUUACCAAGGCAACGAUGCAUAGCCGACCUGAGAGGGUGAUCGGCCACACUGGAACUGAGACACGGUCCAGACUCCUACGGGAGGCAGCAGUAGGGAAUCUUCCGCAAUGGGCGAAAGCCUGACGGAGCAACGCCGCGUGAGUGAUGAAGGUCUUCGGAUCGUAAAACUCUGUUAUUAGGGAAGAACAUAUGUGUAAGUAACUGUGCACAUCUUGACGGUACCUAAUCAGAAAGCCACGGCUAACUACGUGCCAGCAGCCGCGGGUAUACGUAGGUGGCAAGCGUUAUCCGGGAUUAUUGGGCGUAAGCGCGCGUAGCGGUUUUUAAGUCUGAUGUGAAAGCCCACGGCUCAACCUUGGAGGGUCAUUGGAAACUGGAAAACUUGAGUGCAGAAGAGGAAAGUGGAAUUCCAUGUGUAGCGGUGAAAUGCGCAGAGAUAUGGAGGAACACCAGUGGCGAAGGCGACUUUCUGGUCUGUAACUGACGCUGAUGUGCGAAAGCGUGGGGAUCAAACAGGAUUAGAUACCCUGGUAGUCCACGCCGUAAACGAUGAGUGCUAAGUGUUAGGGGGUUUCCGCCCCUUAGUGCUGCAGCUAACGCAUUAAGCACUCCGCCUGGGGAGUACGACCGCAAGGUUGAAACUCAAAGGAAUUGACGGGGACCCGCACAAGCGGUGGAGCAUGUGGUUUAAUUCGAAGCAACGCGAAGAACCUUACCAAAUCUUGACAUCCUUUGACAACUCUAGAGAUAGAGCCUUCCCCUUCGGGGGACAAAGUGACAGGUGGUGCAUGGUUGUCGUCAGCUCGUGUCGUGAGAUGUUGGGUUAAGUCCCGCAACGAGCGCAACCCUUAAGCUUAGUUGCCAUCAUUAAGUUGGGCACUCUAAGUUGACUGCCGGUGACAAACCGGAGGAAGGUGGGGAUGACGUCAAAUCAUCAUGCCCCUUAUGAUUUGGGCUACACACGUGCUACAAUGGACAAUACAAAGGGCAGCGAAACCGCGAGGUCAAGCAAAUCCCAUAAAGUUGUUCUCAGUUCGGAUUGUAGUCUGCAACUCGACUACAUGAAGCUGGAAUCGCUAGUAAUCGUAGAUCAGCAUGCUACGGUGAAUACGUUCUCGGGUCU